CUAGUACACCCUCCGUUUCAAAUUAGUUAACUUGGAUUUAUUUAGAUACAGAUAUAUCUAACACUAAAACAUAUCUAGAUAUAUCCGUAUCUAGACAAAUCUGAGUCGACUAAUUCGCGACGGAGGGAGUACAUG
rfam:Triticum aestivum genome assembly, contig: Triticum_aestivum_CS42_TGACv1_scaffold_328081_4BS